UGAGCCCUUCCUGACCACCUGAUCAAACUAAACUCCACACCUCCAUUGUCAUUUGAAACUUUGCAAUAUACGUUGGCUGAAUGAAUGAGUGAAUUAAUGAACAAGAGAAUGAAGGAAAGAAAUCCAAGUAAAUCAAAAGGAACAGAAACUAGAAAUAUACAGGCAUACUUGUGGCUGGAGUUAUUCCACUACUUGUACAUUAUGUGGCUUACCUCAACAUGUGGAAAAAUACAGUGCAAUGGUGCAUGCCUGUAAUCCCAACACUUUGGGAGGCCGAGGCAGGAGGAUCACUUGAGCCCAGCGUUUGAGAUCAACAUAGCAAAAUCCCGUUUCUACAGAAAAAAAAAAAUUUGCUGCAUGUGGUGGUACACAUCUGUGUUCCCAGCUACUCAGGAGGCUGAAGUGGGAGGAUCACUUGAGGCUGGAGGCAGAAGUUGCAAUGAGCUGAGAUCUAGCCACUGCACUCCAGCCUGGGUGACAGAUUGAAACCCUGUCUCAAAAUAAACAACAAAGAAAACUUCGUCUCCUGCAGGAAGCUAUCAUAAUCCUGACUGCAAGCCACCUAUUUGAAACUUAUUUGAGUUAGAUCUUACGUUAUAUUUAUUUGACCUUUUUCAUCUGUCCAGUUUUCUUCUUGAGUUUAUUCAGUUACCUAAAGAAACUGAAAAUUACUUGUAGAUAGAAAUCACAUUUCAUAAUUUGCUUAUAAUUCCCCUCAGGCCUUCUGCAUUUUAUGCAUAUUGAACAUUACACAAUUUAAUGAAUGGAUCAUUGGAAAAUCUCUCAUUAUGUACACGAUUAUAGAUGCAAUACAUUUUCAUAAGUUAUAUAAUUGUUUUAUUUAUUUUUACAAUUAAGGCUGAAGAUUGAGGUCUAUAUGCACUAAUCUAUUCUUGAUGCAAUGGUUUAUUAAAAUGCCCUUUUAAAUUAUAGUAAGUUUUUGCAUUGAAAUUGGUUUGUCCUUGCUUAACAGAUUCGAUCAUUAAGAACAGUAAAGAGUUUCUCUCACUGAAAUCAUUAAUACAUUUACUUAUACAGAGAUAGAUAGAUAGGUGCUGGCAUAUACUUACAAGCUUAUGAAUAACACAGUUAGUUGCUUCACAUUGACUCAUUUCAGAAAUGUCACUGUAAGUCACAAAAUAUUUUGUGAAAUGAUUGUAGUAUACUUUCGGCUACAACACUGAGUCUGUUAUACCUGAGAAGAAAUUAGACUCUGUGGGGGGAAAAAGACAGAAAAAUUUCCAAAAUCAAAUUUUUAACACCAGGGUUGCUGUGAGCCUUACCCCAGGGGGUGCCGUUUGUGGCAUGGUCUGUGGAGUUAAACAGUGUAGGCUAUGUGGUUUUAUAUGGCAGCCCUGCAGAAACCAGAGAGUAUACAAAAAGGUAUCAUAAAAUUUUGAACUUUAGUGCCACUGCUCAGUUAAGUAGUCUUCAAACUCUUAUGGAUAUUUAGUCAAUCUGUUGUAAUCCAUGAUGUUAGAAUGUACAAUGGUCCUUACCAAUCAUUUUAUUUGGUAGAAAAGAAAAAUAAGAUAUAUCAAUGAGAAGUAAAUUAUAUAUUUAAAAUACAUAUACAUAACAUAGAAUUAAGAAAUAAAGCACAAAAUAUAUGACAAGCCUCUAAAUAUUAAGUACUUUUCAUAGUCUAAAUUUCUACUACUAUACCGUAACUAAGGGAGGAGGCCACCCCUCAUAUUGUCUUAUGCCCAAUUUCUGCCUCCAAAGAAAAAAAAAAGUGAAAACUAAAAGGCAGAAAUGACACCCACAGGAAGACAGCCCGGCGCCACACCCUGGGCCUAGUAGUUAAAGACUGACCCCUGACCUAAUCGGUUAUGUUAUCUAUAGAUUACAGACAUUGUAUGGAAAAGCACUGUGAAUAUCCCUGUCCUGUUCCGUUCUAAUUACCAGUGCAGGUGCAUGCAGCCCCCAGUCACAUACCCUCUGCUUGCUCAAUUGAUCACGACCCUCUCACACAGACCCCCUUAGAGUUGUAAGCCCUUAAAAGCGUCAGGAAUUGCUCACUCAGGGAACUCGGUUUUUGGAGACAUGAGUCUGCUGAUGCUCCUGACUGAAUAAAGCCCUUUCCUUCUACAAUUCGGUGUCUGAGGGAUUCUUGUCUGUCACUCGUCCUGCCAUAUAACCAUUAAAAUUGUGUCUUGCUUAUACGAGGAUUACAUCUCAAAAUAGGAAAAUAUUUUGUAGUGAUAUUUCAGUCUCCAAAUAAGACCAUCAUUUAUGGAAGUUAAAAUUAACUACUUCUGCUAAAUUAAUACAGGUUUGAGCUUUCAUAUUAACUAUAUGUUCUGGGUUUUUUUAUGUAACAGUAUCUUUUAGA
rnacentral:lncRNA from 1 species